UAGGGAAUCUUCCGCAAUGGACGCAAGUCUGACGGAGCAACGCCGCGUGAGUGAAGAAGGAUUUCGGUUCGUAAAACUCUGUUGUUAGAGAAGAACAGCGCAUAGAGUAACUGUUAUGCGUGUGACGGUAUCUAACCAGAAAGCCACGGCUAACUACGUGCCAGCAGCCGCGGUAAUACGUAGGUGGCAAGCGUUGUCCGGAUUUAUUGGGCGUAAAGCGAGCGCAGGCGGUCAAUUAAGUCUGAUGUGAAAGCCCCCGGCUCAACCGGGGAGGGUCAUUGGAAACUGGUUGACUUGAGUGCAGAAGAGGAGAGUGGAAUUCCAUGUGUAGCGGUGAAAUGCGAAGUUAUAUGGAGGAACGCCAGUGGCGAAGGCGACUCUCUGGACUGUAACUGACGCUGAGGCUCAGAAGCGUGGGUAGCAAACAGG
rnacentral:rRNA from 1 species